AUUGAACGCUGGCGGCAUGCCUUACACAUGCAAGUCGAACGGCAGCACGGGAGCAAUCCUGGUGGCGAGUGGCGAACGGGUGAGUAAUAUAUCGGAACGUGCCCAGUCGUGGGGGAUAACGUAGCGAAAGCUACGCUAAUACCGCAUACGAUCUAUGGAUGAAAGCGGGGGAUCGCAAGACCUCGCGCGAUUGGAGCGGCCGAUAUCAGAUUAGGUAGUUGGUGAGGUAAAGGCUCACCAAGCCGACGAUCUGUAGCUGGUCUGAGAGGACGACCAGCCACACUGGGACUGAGACACGGCCCAGACUCCUACGGAGGCAGCAGUGGGGAAUUUUGGACAAUAGGGCGGAAAGACCUCGAUCCAGCAAUAGCCGCGUGCA
rnacentral:rRNA from 1 species